rnacentral:sRNA from 1 species
ACCCAUUUCUUCUCUUAUCUGUCUCCCCAAGGGCAGCAGCAAUCACCACAAGGAAGAAUUUCCUUCCCUGACUGUCUUUGGUUAAAUCUUGACUGCUGGGUUCUCAUAAAGGAGAUCGAAUUCUAGUCAAGCCUAAAAUGGCUACAGCAAAAAUACAAGAUGUAGGAACCUCUGCAUUGUCUUGGCCCGUCACCUGGAAACAGAGUUGAUUCUGACUGAUGGAAGACUUUCAUGUUAACAACUGUUCCAAUAAGCAAUUAAAGCAAAACUGUAUGACUGACAGUUGAAAACAGACCUCUGCAACUGAAUCCUGCCAGGAAAGAACUGGUCUACCAGGAGUGCUGACAUGCCUAAGGUCACAACUGAGACCACCACUACUGCUCCAAUACCAAAUACCUGGCCUAAGUCGGACCUGCCCAGAUCCCACAGGACACAGGAACUGUGGAGCAGCCUGGGACAGUAUCCUUCUGGUUUCAAUCUACACCCCAGAGCUAAC